rnacentral:rRNA from 1 species
CUGGUUGAUCCUGCCAGUGGUAUAUGCUUGUCUCAAGGACUAAGCCAUGCAAGUGUAAGUAUGAGUGAAUUGUACAACGAAACUGCGAAUGGCUCGGUAAAACAGCUAUAGUUUCUUCGAUGGUAACUCUACUCGGAUAACCGUAGUAAUUCUAGAGCUAAUACGUGCCACAAGGCGACUUUUGUCGUGGUAUAAAUUGGAGAUACAAACCAAUAUUUGGUGAUUCACGAUUUCUUUUCUGAUCGCACUAUGUGCGACGCAUCGUUCAAAUUUCUGACCUAUCAACUUUGGAUGGUAAGGUAUUGUCUUACCAUGGUUGUGACGGGUAACGGACCGUGGGUGCGGGACUCCGGAGAGGGAGCCUGAGAAACGGCUACCACAUCCAAGGAAGGCAGCAGGCGCGCAAAUUACCCAAUCCGGACACCGGGAGGUAGUGACAAGAAAUAGCAAUAGAGGGCCCGAUGGGUUUUCUAAUUGGAAUGAGAACAAGGUAAACAGCUUAUCGAGGAGCCAAAAGNNNNNNNNNNNNNNNNNNNNNNNNNNNNNNNNNNNNNNNNNNNNNNNNNNNNNNNNNNNNNNNNNNNNUAAAACGCUCGUAGUCGGAACUUGGCGGGCGACGCAGGGCGUCUUUGCGGACGGAUCUGUAUCGGCCGCCUUUGUGGAGGGGGGCUUAGCGGUGCUUUAUUGCCUUGCUAAGUCGCUGCCACCGUUUACUGUGAAAAAAUUGGAGUGUUCAAAGCAGGCGUUUGCCUUGUACACAUUAGCAUGGAAUAAUAGAAUAGGACCUGGUUCUGUUUUGUUGGUUUGUGAGAAUUAGGUAAUGAUUAAGAGGGACGGUUGGGGGCAUUUGUAUUCUGCCGUCAGAGGUGAAAUUCUUAGAUUGGCGGAAGACAAACAGCUGCGAAAGCGUCUGCCAAGGACGUUUUCAUUGAUCAAGAACGAAAGUAAGGGGAUCGAAGACGAUCAGAUACCGUCGUAGUCUUUACUAUAAACGAUGAGGACUGGGGAUCGGGCGGCGCUGCUUUAUGGCCCGCCCGGCANNCUUCGGGAAACCAAAGUGUUUGCUUUCUGGGGGGAGNNNNNUCGCAAGGCUGAAACUUAAAGGAAUGACGGAAGGGCAUCACCGGGUGUGGAGCCUGCGGCUUAAUUUGACUCAACACGGGGAAACUUACCAGGUCCGGACAUAGUGAGGAUUGACAGAUUGAGAGCUCUUUCUUGAUUCUAUGGUUGGUGGUGCAUGGCCGUUCUUAGUUGGUGGAGUGAUCUGUCUGGUUAAUUCCGUUAACGAGCGAGACCUGGGCGUGCUAGCUAGGCGCCGUUACCCCUUUUGGUAGCGAGGCUUGCCUUCCUAGACGGACUGCGGGCGUCUAGUCCGCGGAAGCUCCAGGCAAUAACAGGUCUGAGAUGCCCUUAGAUGUUCUGGGCCGCACGCGUGCUACACUGAGCGGGUCAACGGGUGAGGAUAGGCGAGAGCCUUUCCUAAUCUCUAAAUCCGCUCGUGCUGGGGAUCGAGGCUUGCAAUUUUCCCUCUUGAACGAGGAAUACCUUGUAAGCGCGGGUCAUCAUCCCGUGCUGAAUACGUCCCUGCCCUUUGUACACACCGCCCGUCGCUCCUACCGAUUGAGUGGUCCGGUGAGGCCUUGGGAGGGCUAGUCAGACUGUGUUUUACAGACUAUCUGGCCCAAACUUGGUCAAACCUUAUC